AUGGCCGAAUGCUUCAAUAGGGUGCUCAAAGGUGCACGUGGAUUACCCGUGACGGCAAUAGUUCAAUACACAUUUGACAAGAUGAAUGCGUACUUUGUAAAGUACUCGAUGGAAACCGAUGCACAGAUAGCGGGUGAGAACCCAUGGAAGUACAAGUACAAGUUCCCACCCAAAGUUGAUUAAUGGUUCGUAUUUCAAUAACGGAAGGCGGACUCAGAAGAAGCUAUAUUGUAUGACAACGAAGAGUGGAAGUACGAAGUGAAAGAGCCAGGAGGAACCACAAAUGAUGGCCAGCAACAUGGAGGGAAGGCUUUCAAGGUAUCGUUAACACAAUGUGAUUGCACUUGCGGGAGGCCAUUGUUGCUUCAUCUCCCAUGCUCACACUUGUAUACCGCUGACCGCGUUAGGAAUGUGGACAUCAAUCAGAGUUCUCAAUUAUGA
rnacentral:rRNA from 1 species